rnacentral:rRNA from 1 species
CUGGCUCAGGAUGAACGCUGGCGGCGUGCCUAACACAUGCAAGUCGAACGGAGAUUUAACGCUGAUGAGGCUUCGGCGGAAUCUUGUUAAAUCUUAGUGGCGGACGGGUGAGUAACGCGUGGGCAACCUGCCUCGUACUGGGGGAUAACAGUUGGAAACGACUGUUAAUACCGCAUAAGCGCACGGUACCGCAUGGUACAGUGUGAAAAACUCCGGUGGUACGAGAUGGGCCCGCGUCAGAUUAGCCAGUUGGUGGGGUAACGGCCUACCAAAGCAACGAUCUGUAGCCGGACUGAGAGGUCGGACGGCCACAUUGGGACUGAGACACGGCCCAAACUCCUACGGGAGGCAGCAGUGGGGGAUAUUGCACAAUGGGCGAAAGCCUGAUGCAGCGACGCCGCCGUGAGUGAAGAAGUAUUUCGGUAUGUAAAGCUCUAUCAGCAGGGAAGAAAGACUCGUAAGAGAGAUGACGGUACCUGACUAAGAAGCCCCGGCUAACUACGUGCCAGCCGCGGC